UACGGAGGGGGCUAGCGUUGUUCGGAAUCACUGGGCGUAAAGGGCGCGUAGGCGGCCGAUCAAGUCGGGGGUGAAAGCCUGUGGCUCAACCACAGAAUUGCCUUCGAUACUGUUUGGCUUGAGACCGGAAGAGGUUAGUGGAACUGCGAGUGUAGAGGUGAAAUUCGUAGAUAUUCGCAAGAACACCAGUGGCGAAGGCGGCUCACUGGCCCGAUACUGACGCUGAGGCACGAAAGCGUGGGGAGCAAACAGG
rnacentral:rRNA from 1 species